GGCCCGUAAGCUUUAAGAAGCAUGUACUUUGAAAGUACGAGAUAAGGUAUUAACCUUACGGGCUU
rnacentral:tRNA from 1 species